AUAAUAUAAUUAUUUUAUUUUAAUGUUUUAGUUGAUUUAUUUAUUAAGAAAUAUAUUUUAUUAUUAUAUAUUUAAUAUUAUUAAAAAAUUUAUAGUUUAUUAGUACUUUUAAGGAAUUAUGUGAAUAUUACGAUAGAUUUUUUAAUAUUAGUACCUUUUGUAUCAGGGUCUAAUAAUUUUAGUUUUUAUUAUUUUGUUCUCUAAUAUAAAAUUGAGUUAUUUUAUUUUUAUUUAUUUGUUUCAUUAAAUAGAUUGUAAGGUAAAAUAGAGAUGAAAUGUUUUUCGAGAUUUAAGAUUUAUAGUUAUGUGAUAAAUAAUUAUUUAAGGGUUAAGUUUUAUUAAGUAAAGUUUAUAAUUAAUAUUUGAUUGAUAUAUUUAGUAUUGAUAUUGUAGAUUAUUUGAAGUGUGUAUUUAUUUAAGUUUAUUAAAAAUUAAAUUGGAAGGAUUUAUUUGAUUUAUAUAAUUUAAUUUUUGUUUUUAUUAAUAAUAUUAGAAUUAGUAUAAUUUUUUUUUGAUAGUAUAAAAUUUUUGAAAAUAUGAAUUAAGGAAUUCGGCAAGUUUAAUUUUUUGCCUGUUUAACAAAAACAUGGCCUUCCGAGAGGAAUUAUUGAGUGUAUGGAAGGUCGGUCCUGCUCAAUGAAUAUAUUUAAAUAGCCGCAGUAAAUUGACUGUGCUAAGGUAGCAUAAUAAUUUGUCUUUUAAUUGAAGACUGGAAUGAAGGGGUUGACGAGAAAAUUUCUGUCUCAUUUUUUAUAUUUUGAAUUUAUUAUUAAAGUUAAAAAUCUUAUUAAUGUUUUUGAGGGACGAAAAGACCCUAUCAAGUUUGAUAUUAUAAAUGUUUUAUUUCUAUCUAAUUUAUUUUAUGUUAUUUGUUUGGGGCGGAAUUAAUAGAAUAUCUUUUAUUAAUGGUAAUGGUUAUAGUCUAUAAUAGGAUCUAAUUUUAUUAAUUAGAUGAUAAAUUACUGUAGGGAUAACAGAGUAAUUCUUUUUUAGAGUUCAAAUUGAUAAAAGAGAUUGCUACCUCGAUGUUGGGUUAAAGUAACUUAUUGAGUGAAGACGCUAAUAAUAAGUGAGUCUGUUCGACUUUUAAAUUUUUACAUGAUCUGAGUUCAGACCGGCGUGAGCCAGGUCAGAUUUUAUCUUUAAGAAUUUUUAUUUUGGUAAUUUUAGUACGAAAGGACAAAGUU
rnacentral:rRNA from 1 species